GACGAACGCUGGCGGCGUGCUUAACACAUGCAAGUCGAACGGGCCCGCCCCUGUUUUUGGGGGUGGUUUGAGUGGCGAACGGGUGAGUAUCACGUGAGUAACCUGCCCCCUGCUCCUGGAUAACUGCUUGAAAGGGCGGCUAAUACGGGGUGUGCCGGCUGGUCCGCAUGGGCCUGGUCGGGAUAGUUUCAUCUUCGGGUGUUUCGGUGGGGGAUGGGCUCGCGGCCUAUCAGCUUGUUGGUGGGGUGAUGGCCCACCAAGGCGGUGACGGGUAGCCGGCCUGAGAGGGUGGGCGGCCACACUGGGACUGAGACACGGCCCAGACUCCUGCGGGAGGCAGCAGUGGGGGGUAUUGCACAAUGGGCGGAAGCCUGAUGCAGCGACGUCGCGUGAGGGAUGGGGGCCUUCGGGUUGUGAACCUCUUUCUCCGGUGGUGAAGGCCCUGUCCGUUGCGGCGGGGUUGACGGUAGCCGGGUAUGAAGCGCCGGCUAACUACGUG
rnacentral:rRNA from 1 species